AUUGAACGCUGGCGGCAGGCCUAACACAUGCAAGUCGAACGGUAACAGGAAGCAGCUUGCUGCUUCGCUGACGAGUGGCGGACGGGUGGGUAAUGUCUGGGAAACUGCCUGAUGGAGGGGGAUAACUACUGGAAACGGUAGCUAAUACCGCAUAACGUCGCAAGACCAAAGAGGGGGACCUUAGGGCCUCUUGCCAUCGGAUGUGCCCAGAUGGGAUUAGCUAGUAGGUGGGGUAACGGCUCACCUAGGCGACGAUCCCUAGCUGGUCUGAGAGGAUGACCAGCCACACUGGAACUGAGACACGGUCCAGACUCCUAUGGGAGGCAGCAGUGGGGAAUAUUGCACAAUGGGCGCAAGCCUGAUGCAGCCAUGCCGCGUGUAUGAAGAAGGCCUUCGGGUUGUAAAGUACUUUCAGCGGGGAGGAAGGGAGUAAAGUUAAUACCUUUGCUCAUUGACGUUACCCGCAGAAGAAGCACCGGCUAACUCCGUG
rnacentral:rRNA from 1 species